rnacentral:rRNA from 1 species
AUUGAACGCUGGCGGCAGGCCUAACACAUGCAAGUCGAACGAGUGGCGGACGGGUGAGUAAUGUCUGGGACACUGCCUGAUGGAGGGGGAUAACUACUGGAAACGGUAGCUAAUACCGCAUACCCUCAGAUGUGCCCAGAUGGGUUUAGCUAGUUGGUGGGGGAACGGACCACCAAGGCGACGAUCCCUAGCUGGUCUGAGAGGAUGACCAGCCACACUGGAAUGGAGACACGGUCCGGACUCCUACGGUAGGCAGCAGUGGGGAAUAUUGCACAAUGGACGCAAGCCUGAUGCAGCCAUGCCGCGUGUAUGAAGAAGUCCUUCGGGUGGUAAAGUAAUUUCAGCGGGGAGGCGUUACCCGCAGAAGAAGCACCGGCUAACUCCGUGCCAGCAGCCGCGGUAAUUC